ACUUAAAUAAUUUAAAAUAAAAUAUUAAUUUGUGGAAUUAAAAAUAUGAUUAUCAUUUUAAGUA
rnacentral:tRNA from 1 species